rnacentral:tRNA from 1 species
GCCAGAAUGAUGGAAUUGGUAGACAUGCUAGGUUUAGGUUCUAGUUCUUUAAUAGAGUAGGGGUUCAAGUCCCCUUUUUGGUA